rnacentral:lncRNA from 1 species
GCCUGCGAAUCCCUCCUUGGCCGCAAGGUCCCCCUUUGCCCAGUCGGCGGGGAGGAGGCCGUAUUUCUGCUGGCCAGAGACGUCGCGUCCCUGGCUGGGCAUUCAGUCACCCCCAGGAAAGGAGGCAAGUCCACGCUGGGAGUUAGAAGGCAUCGCCUCUAAUCCAGGUUUCGCCAUCUCCUCUGCUAAGUGACGUCCAGCAAGUCACUUCACUUUCAGGACCUCAAAUCUCCUCCCCAGUAGUAAAAUAGGGGUAAUAAAAACAGCUACAGCGGAAGACUGUUGUGAGGCACAGAGAAAGGGCUUGGUCAUUGGAAGCGGGUUCCAGGUUCUCAACCUUCAUUUCCUUCACGGUUGAAGGACGCCAAAGAAAGCGGAAAGGGUGUGCCUAGAUUGAUCGGUAUAAGGCUCACUCUCCCGCCCCCCAAAGUGGUUGAUCGUUGGAACGAGAAAAGGGCCAUGUUCGGAGUGUAUGACAACAUCGGGAUCCUGGGAAACUUUGAAAAGCACCCCAAAGAACUGAUCAGGGGGCCCAUAUGGCUUCGAGGUUGGAAAGGGAAUGAAUUGCAACGUUGUAUCCGAAAGAGGAAAAUGGUUGGAAGUAGAAUGUUCGCUGAUGACCUGCACAACCUUAAUAAACGCAUCCGCUAUCUCUACAAACACUUUAACCGACAUGGGAAGUUUCGAUAGAAGAGAAAGCUGAGAACUUCGGAAAAGGCUCAUCUGUCACCCUGGAGAAGGGAAACUGUACUUUUCCCUGUGAGGAAACGGCUUUGUAUUUUCUCUGUAAUAAAAUGGGGCUUCUUUGGAAUUU